rnacentral:rRNA from 1 species
CUUUCCCUCUUGCUUCAGGCCUAACACAUGCAAGUCGAGCGGAUGAAGGGAGCUUGCUCCUGGAUUCAGCGGCGGACGGGUGAGUAAUGCCUAGGAAUCUGCCUGGUAGUGGGGGAUAACGUCCGGAAACGGGCGCUAAUACCGCAUACGUCCUGAGGGAGAAAGUGGGGGAUCUUCGGACCUCACGCUAUCAGAUGAGCCUAGGUCGGAUUAGCUAGUUGGUGGGGUAAAGGCCUACCAAGGCGACGAUCCGUAACUGGUCUGAGAGGAUGAUCAGUCACACUGGAACUGAGACACGGUCCAGACUCCUACGGGAGGCAGCAGUGGGGAAUAUUGGACAAUGGGCGAAAGCCUGAUCCAGCCAUGCCGCGUGUGUGAAGAAGGUCUUCGGAUUGUAAAGCACUUUAAGUUGGGAGGAAGGGCAGUAAGUUAAUACCUUGCUGUUUUGACGUUACCAACAGAAUAAGCACCGGCUAACUUCGUG